rnacentral:lncRNA from 1 species
CCUAAGCUAAUACACUUCUAACACUAGCUAAGGAUAGUGAUUUAGUUGUCGCAACCCCUUUUGCCAAUUCUUACAUUUCCUUCCCCGAGCAUGUAUAAGUAUUGCAAUUUCUCGGCAUACGUGAUUUUCAUCAUAAGACUUCCCCUCGAAUCCGAUAGCAUUCCUACUUCUCCAAAUGAGUGACACUGUGGUGACAAAAGCAGUGGCCACCACAGCCUUCUUCCACACUUUACUCCUAGCAAGGCAACAAAUCUAAAGGAGUUCAUCAUUCCAGCAGCCUAUUGUUCUGUUGCACCCCAACCAGCAGUAAAUUCUAUACCAUAUCUUACUUGUAACUGGACAAGUAAAGAAUAAAUGGCCAAACUCUUCAACAGCUUGUUG